rnacentral:tRNA from 2 species
GCCUUCAUGGUCUAGUUGGUUAUGACAUAGGUCUCAUAAUCCUGGGGUCGGCAGUUCGAACCUGUCUGAGGGCA